UAACCCCUGUCCCUGUUGAAGCUGCUCCAUUCAGCCUUUGCACAAGCCUCCCUUUUGCUGCUGAAUACCUGGAAGAACACCUUCUUCUUGCCCUCCACAUGAUUUGUCUGGUUCAAUGCCAUGUGGGCUUUGCCUUUCCUAACCCCAACCCUGCACACUCAGACAACCUGGCAAAUGAUGUCCCCAGAGCAAAGGGCAUCAAGAGGAAGACAGAAGAAAUCAUUGGCACAGACUGUCUACCGGCAGAUACAAUGGCCAGUGAUCAUUGAAACAUGCACAAAGAGAGGGAGGAGAGAAAAGCAAGUGGAACAUCCUUAACGAAGUGGAGACAAUGUGUGCUCUACAGACAUGUGCAUCACAGGCCAGAGCUGGGCCUCUUUCUGCAAAGGGAGUUGCAAACAAUUCACCACCCCAAGACAACAUCCCCCGCCAGCAAUGGACCCCUGCAGAACUUGGGGGUCAUCUUCUCCUGCACCGACAAGACACUGCCCAGGAUAUACUCGGACCGUAAUCCCACCACAUGAAAGGACUUGUGUGGUAGAAUAAGCACGUCAGAAAUGAGGAAGUUAAAUGGCAUCAUUGAUGAAAACUCAAAUGCAACCAGUUCAGUUAGGUAGGAUAUUUUGCUUUGGAGGUGAGCCUGCUGGAAAAUUACUGCCACGUGCAGUGACUGGGUGCCUGGGGCGGUGCAGGAGCAGUAUAAAAGCGGGUCCUUCUCCUCACUCUCUCAUCCACUCCUCUCGCCUCCACCUCUUUGGGAACAAGGUGAACUACCAGCCAGAAGACAUGUCCUGCUACAACCCCUGCCUGCCCUGCCAGUCCUCUGGCCCAACCCCGCUGGCCAACAGCUGCAAUGAGCCCUGUGUCAGGCAGUGCCAGGACUCCCAUGUUUACAUCCAGCCGUCCCCUGUGGUGGUGACCCUGCCCGGCCCCAUCCUCAGCUCCUUCCCGCAGAACACCGCCGUGGGAUCCUCCACCUCCGCUGCCGUUGGCAGCAUCCUCAGCUCUCAGGGAGUGCCCAUCAACUCCGGGGGCUUUGGUCUCUCUGGCUUGGGCAGCGGCAUCUGCGGCACAAGGAGGCGUUUCCCCUGCUAAAGCUGCUGCUGAUGGCUCUGGGGAAGGACCCCAGGGACACAGAAAAUGGUACCAGCCUGGGGACGUAGCAUCAGGUUGUUGGUUUCAGAGGGUCUGAGCAACCUCAGCACCCUUGGCAAAAGGACAGGACCAGCCUGGUCUCUCAGAAAGUACAGCCCAUGCUGCCUUUUUCCUCUUCCAGUGUCCCCUUUUCCUCUUGUGUCCUUGUUCUCUUGUGCUCCCCUGGACUGUGAGCCCCACUAAGCCAGCCUAGGGAGGACCUGCUGGCCCUGCUCCCUCUGUGGGACGGGCAGAUGGACACCUGCCUGGGUGUUUCUCGCAGCUGCAGGGAACAGACACCUUUGUGCACCUGGUACUCCUUGCUCCGGGAUCUCCACUCAGAGUGACUUGUUUUUCUUCUUUUUCCACCAUUAAAGUUCUGCUGCAUCCCA